AUUGAACGCUGGCGGCAGGCCUAACACAUGCAAGUCGAACGAGUGGCGGACGGGUGAGUAAUGUCUGGGACACUGCCUGAUGGAGGGGGAUAACUACUGGAAACGGUAGCUAAUCCCGCAUACCAUCGGAUUUGCCCAGAUGGGAUUAGCUUGUUGGAGGGGUAACGGCUAACCAAGGCGACGAUCCCUAGCUGGUCUGAGAGGAUAACCGUCAACACUGGAACUGAGACACGGCCCAGACUCCUAAGGGAGGAAGCAGUGGGGAAUAUUGCACAAUGGGCGCAAGCCUGAUGCAGCCAUGCCGCGUGUAUGAAGAAGGACUUCGGGUUGUAAAGUACGUUCAGUCGGGAGGCGUUACCGACAGAAGAAGCACCGGCUAACUCCGUGCCAGCAGCCGCGGUAAUAC
rnacentral:rRNA from 1 species